CCUCAUGAGUUCAUAAAUAUCUUCCUGUAUUUUAGAUGCGGUUCCCAGAUUUUAGAUUAGUAUUCCUAUAAGUAGUAACUAGUCGUUAACGCUCCCUUUGAGGGGUUUUUGACCUUAAAGAAAACAGUACAGAUGAGUAGGAUGCUAAUACAAUCAUUGUCCCCCAAACUGCCCUCUAGGCUGUAGUUACUAUGGAUUGUAAUCUUAUUGCCCACUGUUUGUGGGUGGUGGCAGGCUAAUUGCUGAAACAAACAUCCGAACCGUAAGGGCUUUAUAUGACCAAUAUUUAUUUCUUGCUUUUGUGAUAGUCUAGGCCAGAUAUUCAGGUCAUCCGAGAUGCUCUUUUCCACGUAGUCAGUCAGGGACCCAGAUCAAGUGGUUUCUAGGCAUCACUGUAGUCAGCUGGGAGAGGAGGAGCAUCAGUGGGAAGUUGCAGGGACAAGCCUGGAAACUGUCUCGUGUCCUGUGACGACUGUCCACCCAAACAGGAGCUUCUGUGUUUCUAAGCAGUGCGGUUACGUUCGCCAGCCUUUGGAUGUAAAAUUUUAACUGUUGAUCCUGGUUGUCUCCUGCGUAUACAUUUGGGGGCAUUAUCUUAUUUGCAUCUCUGAGAUCUAUUUUAAGGAAACUGGCAAAGAAGCUACAAUAAGUGAUUUAUCUAGCAUGACAGCAAUGAAGCUUUCUGGCAUACUUGAUUUUUUUCCCAUCAGAAGCUUUAAUUGUCAGAACUUGAGAUCUUCAGCAGUUUUUCACGGAAAGACUUCUAAAACUUGUAGUCCUUUGUUGCUUCAGAUCAACUAUUACCUUUUUUUGGUGACUCUUGGUCAGCUCCGUGUGCCUCGGUGAAGGCACUGAACCAGAAUACAAUUGAUACCCUUUCAGGUAUCAGAGUUUGUUUCAAGUUACGCAAUGACUCACAUUCUUUGCCCUUUCCGUUGUCCUCUCACCCCCAUAACUCCUUGAAGGUAAGGCCUUUUUCUUGCUCACUGAGUCUGUUAAAGUGCCUGAGUUCAGUGCCCUGAAUGGACAACUCAGGCAAGUUUAUUUGAACCACUUAGUGAGUUCUUACUGGCUUUUUAUUGGUGACGGUGUGGUGCUCUCAGUAUCUCUACCAUGAGGGUAGUGGUUCUCAAAUUUGAGAGCCCAUCACGAUCCCCCGGAGUGCCUGUUAAAACCUACCUUUGCCGAGUCCCAUCCUCAGAGUUUCUGACUUCAUAGGUCUGGGGGAGCUGGACGAUUGACUUUUCUGAUUUGUUUCCACGCGAUGCUGAUAAGAUUGCUUUUCCUGGGAAGCCAUUUUGAGAACCACUGCUCUUAGUGCUCUAUGCCGUCUUCAUUCCCCUUAGUGCACACAAGUGGGAGAGGGGUGGGGUGGGGGGAGGUGGAGACAGAGAGAGAGAGAGAGAGAGAGAGAGAGAGAGAGAGAGAGAAUCCCAAGCAGCCUCCACACUCAGUGAGCCCCUGGGCUCCAUCCCAUGACCCUGGGAUCAUGCAUGACCCGAGCCAAAAUCAAGAGUUGGACGUUCAGUUGACUGAGCCACCCAGGCGCCCCUCUCCUUUUUUUCUUAUAACCCCUUUGUUUUCCUUAGGAGGAAGGAAAGGGCCGAAGGCUUAGAGCACACAUACAUUUUUUGAUGCUACUACUUUUUUUUUCAAAGAAAAAGACUUUGAGGGGUGCCUGGGUGGCUCAGUGGGUUAAGCAUAGGACUCUUGACUUCAGCUCAGGUCGAUCUCACAGUUGGUGAGAUCGAGCCCCGCGUUGAGCUCUGCACUGUCAUCGGGGAGCCUGCUUAGGAUUCUCUCUCUCCCUCUGCCCCCCCCCCCCCCCAUGUGUCUGCAGCUCCCAUGCAUGUACAUGUGCACGCUCUGUCUCUCAGAUAAACUUAAAAAGAAACGCACGGACUUAGGGACUUGAAUUGUUGCCUGUGAAUAAGGUAUAUGGGCUUUAAAUUAUCCUUUGAGGCUAGUUUUGCUUUUCUAGCUCACGACUAUGUUCUGGAUGACUGAAGUGAUAAGUAUCCAUUGAAUUAAUUGUUACAGGGGUUCUGAAGCUCAUCAAGAUCAUAAACACAAUAAAAAAACAAACAAAGUGGGCAAUGGGGAUUUCUUCCACUUUAGUAUUGGUAAUGGGGCAAAAAUAUUGUAAGUUAAUUAUUGUAAUACAUCUAAUUUUUCAGAGUGCCCGAAAAAUGAAAAGCAUAAGUACCAUGGCUCUUUAAAAUUUUAAACCUCAUGGAUCUUGAAUCAGUAAUCAGAUAUCUUUUGUUUACACAUUGCAUUUUAGUAUGUAUGCUUUAAAGUUUUUAUGUAGAGACCAACUAAAUUGUUAUUUAUGCUAGAGAAAUAAGAGAGAUGUUUAUUGAUUCAAUCACAACAUUUUCUUGAAGUCAAAUUUCAAUUUUUGUUUUAAAUUUGGCAUUAGUUUUUAUUCAUUGGAAAGAAACCCAGAGCUAAAAUUCUAGUAACUGGUAUUAAUCUUAUUAUUUUUGUGACUAUCUAUAAUUUUUUAGAAGCAGACACACUUGUCUUGGAGUAAGAUUCUUGUUUGUAAACAGUGCAAACAUAAUUUGUCACUAUGGAUGAAAAACACCAUUUAUUCAAAGACAUUCGCUAUCACUCGGGAAGAAAAAAAUGGUUCUUUUGAUCCAGAAAAGUUAGGUUUGUUAUGAAAUAUUUGCCCUCUCCCCAUAUUGUUUUAACCCUUUGUUUAAAUAAUCUAAGUGUUAUGAUUUAAAAGAUUGCCACCAUUGUAGAGGCUAGGGAAGAUCCCACUGUUUCAGAUCAUUUGGCCAGGUUUAGGAACAGGCAGGUCACCGUUCUGUUUCUUCAGAUAGUAUAGCGAUCAAAUUAAGUUAACCUAUACCAAAGUGAGUUACUAUACAGGCUAUCUAGUAUAGUAUAUAGCUCUUAAAAUUACAAUUCAUACCCUAAGAGUGGUUUUGGAAAACGUGGAUAAGGUAUUCACAUUUUUAGAGGUUUAGAUACUUUAGUUUACACGUAGUCUAUAUUGUAAUGAUAUUUGUCAAAUUAAUCAAUGAAAACUCAUGGAAAUAAGGCUGUUGGUAGAGGUAAGGCUGAAGGUAGGCCAAACGGAUGAACACAGUGUGUAGACAUGGGAAACCAAACAGGUGUGCAGGCUGUGGUCUCCAUCAGAUUUGUAAGAGUAUGUAGCUGAUGGCACUCGGGUUGAAUUCAUCAUUGGAACUCAACUGUGUUUUCCUAACUUUGGCAAAUGAGAUUAAAUAAAUUUUGUGAGGCAGCUGUAGGGUACUUAACAGAUUUUUCACUGCUUUUAGUGUUUCUAAUAGCCAGGUAGUCCAGGUACUUUUUAUUACAGGUAUAUAUAUAAUCAGUCAAAAUGAAGUACGAUUAUAUAAAUCACUUGCCAAAAUUUUCUAGAUGUUAGAAGAAAACCAGAGAUGGAAACUGAGUUAUAUUUAUUUUGGCUUGAUCCGUAUGGCUUCUAUUAAAGGUUACUUACAUUAAAAAAAAUAAUAAAGGGGGCCCCUGGGUGGCUCAGUCAGUUAAACUUUUGACUUCCCCUCAGGUCAUGAUCUCACGGUUUGUGAGUUCGAGCCCUGCAUCGGGCUCUGUGCUGACAGCUCAGAGCCUGGAGCCUGCUUCGGAUUCUGUGUCUCUCUCUACCCCUUCCCCGCUCAUGCUGUCUCUCAAAAAUAAAUAAACGAUAAAAAAAGAAAAAAAAACAUAAUAAGGAAAGCUUUUUGGAGUGUGUUGAAACUUUUUUAUUGUGUAAUGUAAUGAAGAGAAAAUAUUUGUACUUUUAAUCAAAUAUAAUUUUUAUAACUGAAGUGUAAUUCAGUAGUUAGAGAAACAUUUUGUGCUUUUUCUUUAUAUUUUCUUACAAGUAAAAAUACUGCUGUUUCUUUAUAUACUUCUUAAAAGAAUGAAAAAGAAUACAUGUGCUGUCUUCAUGGUCUUACUCAAAUAAUUUUUAAAUGAAAAAAAAAUUUUUUUUGAUGGAGUCUUUAAAAACAAGAUUCAGGUUUCUUCUACUGUUAGUAUAUUAGAAGGCUUAAGGUAGGUACCGAAGGAUGGCAAAAUAAGAGUAGAAUCAGGUAUACCCCAAGUACUAGAGGUUCUUUGAAUCCAAGUACAGUUUACCAUGAGUCUAGAUUUUGGACUUAAAGAGAAGAAAAUUGUUUCGUCAUACUUUUUAAAAAAUAUUUCAUUGGUAGCCGAUGAUUUGAUUCUGGUCCACUCUAUGUGUGAUGUAUUUGCAUGUAGGAUGUGAAGCUCUGCUACCUUCAAUUCAAAAAGAAAUCUACGAGGCUGCCUGAUGGCUCAGUCCUUUGAGCCUGUGACUCUUGGUUUCAGCUGAGGGCAUUGAUCUCAUGACUCCAGGGAGCAAAUCCUGCAAUUGGGCUGUGCGCUGACAGAGUGGAGCCUGCCUGGGAUUCUCUCUCCUCCCUGCCCCUGCCCCUGCCCUUGCCUUGCUCGGGUGCGCGUGCUCUCUUGCUCUCUCUCCCUCUCUCAAAGUAAAUAAGUAAACAUUAAAAAAUCUAUGAAAUACAGACUUCACUGGGAAUUUAAUUUCCCUAGGCAUAAAAACAUAAUAUCUACAAAUUUAGAUCUUAUAUGUCUUAAGAAUCAGAGUAAGGGGCGCCUGGGUGGCUCAGUUCAUUAAGCUUCUGACUUCAGCUCAAGUCACAAUCCCUCAUGGUUUGUGAGUUCCAACCCUGCGUCGGGUUCAGUGUGGACAGCUCAGGGCCUGGAGCCUGCUUUGGAUUCUGGGUUUCCCUGUCUCUCUGCCCCUCCCCUGCUCAUGCUCACUUACUCUCUCUCUUUCUCUCAAAAAUAAAUCUUAAAAAGUUAAAAAAAAAAAAAAAGAAUCAGUAAGUUUUUAGGUAAGAUACUCACUUUUAUUAAUUUGAGUUCUGGCACGUAUAACCUUUAUCCACAAAAUUGUUCAAAAUACUUGCUUUUAUUAUCUUGGGUGAAAGGUGUAAUCUGUUAGGAAAAUAAUAUAUCUGUAAGAUGUAAGGUGAAAUCAUGCCCCUAUUAUUGAGUAAUAAUAUGUAGGUCUGUGAGUGUACAUAUUUCCUAUCUUUUAUAGAAUGAGUUUUUAGGUUAGUCCCAGUCCAAAACUUCUACCUGAAUUUACAGGUUAAAAUACUGUUUUCUCUCUCUCUCUUUUUUUUUUUUACCCGUUUUGAGUAAGUUAACAGAUAUUCAGAAUGUUUAUUGUUAAACUAGAAAAUGAGAAUUUAAAACCAGUAAUUGUAAAUAAAGGCAGAUAUAUUGGUGUAAUUGGAAGAAUCAUAGAUAGUAACUUUGGAUGGUUGCUUUUAGUAAUUGUGAAGUGAAAACAGUGGGAGAAAUUCUGUUAAUAACUUACAUACGUAGACAAUUUGAAUAAAGGACACCAUACAGGGUGGAGUUUUCUUUCCUUGCCUGAUUUAUAGUUCUACAGUGUGUGUUUGUGUGUGUGUGUGUGUGAGUGAAAUGCUUAUAUUCCAUUUUAUUCAUGUUACCUCACAUAGUAUUAUUUAAAAGUUGGUUAUACAUUUUAAUCUCUUCUAUAGAGAAGGAGGGAGUUUGAGGUUUGCUCAAUUGCAUGCUUUCCUAAUUUUUGGAAAUUAUGACUGUCUUAUUCUUGGAGUUGUGACUUCUUUUGGAGGAGAGGUAUAUUGUGUGGCUUGUGUGCAUUUUGUAUGUUGCAAAUUUGUGGAUUGGACAUUUUAUCUGUUCCUGCAGGAAGACUGAGGGCUAUCUCAGGAUGUUGUGAAAUCAGGUUAGAGGUGUAGUGGGUUCUCAUCAUUUCACUAACAAAAAUCAGAUUUACAGUCUUUUUUUGUCUACCUAAUCUCCCUGAUGAGAGCGCUCUCAAGUGUUCUGUCUGUAUUUGUAUAAAAAGAAUAAAUUUGUAAUUUAAAACUUUUAUCCCAUGAAAAGUAAUUUACUUCUAAUUUUGUGGCAUUAAAACUUGGUAAAAUAAAUAACACAUUUUACCAGUUUUUUAAGUUUUGAGAAAUUGACACUUGGGAGUUUUGACUUGAGCCAUUAAUACUAAAAAAAGCUACUAAUUAAAAUUGUGUGAAAAUUAGCUUGAGUCAGUGUUAGUCUUUUAAAGAUGAACUGAGGAUGUGUAUGGACACUUUCCAGGGCGUUUUUAAAAAAUAUGUGACCGAGACUCACCCUAAACCUGCCAUUCUGGUUUCUCACUCAGAUCCUCCCUCCCUCUCCCUUCUCGUUUUGCACAUGUCUGUUUUUAGACAGCUUGUCUGGCAAUUCUCAUGUCUCUUCCUGGUUAGGAACCAGUGCUUUAGGGGGUUAGGGACAGUGGAGAAAUGCUAGUCUUUUUACCAGGAGGUAGAGCAGGAGGACUUUUUCCUCCUUCAGAUACUUUGAGUCACAUAACAUUUAUAAUUAAAAUAACAUUGUCUUAAAAUUUUCUGUUUUUGGAAUUUGGGUGUGACUGUUAUGGAGGUAUUAUCUGUGUGCAUGUGAAUUUAUACUUUUUAUAAUGUUGUAAAACGUUAUAGGUAGCCAGGAUCCUAAACUGCUUAAUUCAUUUCUCCAGCUUCAUUUUCCUCUUAAGCUAGCUAAGCCAUUUCAGAAUCUCUUAAUUACUUUAGAAGAAUACCUGCUUACUUCUCUUGAACUUCAGUUCAUUUCAGAAUUUAUUGAUUCUUCUGAUUAUCCUGCAUUCUGUUUGCUGGGUUCAGGCUUACAGGAAGUUGGGUAAAUCUAUCAUCAUGUUCUGAAAGAUGCUUGAGUACGAAGCUUAGCAUGCAUCUGUGCUCUCUUCCUUUCACUCUCCACGGCCAGUUGAUUAGUAAUCCAGUCAGUUCAACUCGCAUAUGCUAUCUCUAGUGUAUACUGCCUCCAUCCUUGGACCAGGCCAUCACCGCCUCUUUGGUGUUUGAGUUAAACAGCCUAAUUGGUCUGUCCCUGCAGUUCAUUUCUCAUUUAAAAGUAAAAGUAAUCUUAAAUAUAAAUGAGGUCACGUCUCAUUGUCAGUAGAAUAAAAUCCCAGCUCCUUGCUAUGGCUUACAUAAUUUGCAUGUCGUGUGCUUCUCUAAGUGUCCCCCUUUCUCCUCCCCAGUGUGUAACCCGUUCCAGCCUUGCUGGUCGUCACGUACCUCAGGCUCUUUUUGGCUCAGACUCUUUGCAUAUGUUGCUUCCUCCACCUGUUUUUUCUGGGGCUGGUUCUUUUCUUCUCUUAGGUGUCGGCUAAAAUGGCACAAAGAAAGGCCUUUGACUAAUGUAAACAAAGUUUCCCACUAUUAUUUUCCAUCUUGUCCUAUUUCCUUGCUUGUCAGGACUCAUUACAAUUUGAAGUUUUGCUUUUGUUUGAAUUAGGAUGAGUGGUCCUCUUUGAUGGCCAUUGGAACAUAAACUCCCUUGUGGCAGGAACAAUGUUUAGAUGCUAAGUGAAUAUUUUAAAAAUUAAAACAAUGGAAGAUUACUAUUUAAAGACUACGGCUUUCUUUUCUGAUUGAAUAAGCCUCAUCCUUUUAACUCUACCUCAUGGAGGGAGGGUCUCUGUUAUAAAGAGAGAAUAUGUUUGAGAAUCUGUAUUUGAAUAUGUAUUUGAAUGUGUUCAGCUUUUUUCGCCCCAUCUCUGUGCCCUUGCGUUGGCCUUACUCUGCUGGGAAUGCUUUUCAGUUUCUUGAGGUCUUGCCUAUUUUUAACUGAUCAGGUCAAAUGCCUCUUUUUUCCCCAAAGCCAUUUCUACUUCUCUGGUCAUUACGAAAAUAUACCAUCCCUGUGCUUCUCGAGUGUUUGAGUAUCUCAUAAUAUACUUAAAAAAUUUUGUCUAUGUUUUAUAUAUGUUUUCUCCACUAAAGUUGAAUGCUUCUGGAGGCCUUUUUAACAUUUUAUCCAUUAUUGUGAUCACACAUGGAGACCUGGAGUAAAUUUGAAAAUUGGAAAAUUUUGAGCACGUUAAUGGGCUUAUGACAGUGUGUGUGAGCUUCUUGAGAUCGAGACUGGGUCUUAUUUCUUGAGUUUCUGAAACCUUGCUCAUUGCUCAGUCUCAUGCAGUGUUUCCAGUAAGUGUUUCAUAUGCAGUUACAGAUGAAUCUGUGGUGCUUUCAAAGUACAGCCUUCCCUGUCCCCAUCUGCGACCUACUGAAUCAGAAACUCCACAUCUGGAGUUUUUAGAGAUGUCACAGGAGAUUCUGACAUCUACCUUUUUACUCCUAAAGAAAAAAAAGCUCAAAAUGCCAGAAAUUUGAAGAAAGGUGAGAUUCUAUCUGGUUUGAAUGAAAGUGUUCAGAAAAGAAAGGUUCAUGGAAUAGGAAAUAUUUGAGAUGGGUUUAAAAUUUUUUUUUUAAUGUUUGUUUAUUUUUGAGACAGAGACGGCGCAUGAGGAGGGAAGGGGCAGAGAGAGAGGGCUCUGAAGCAGGCUCCAGGCUCUGAGCUAUCAGCACAGAGCCCGACGCGGGGCUCGAACUUGCGAACUGCAACACCACUACCUGAGCUGAAGUCGGGCGCUCAACCGACUGAGACCCCUAGGCGCCCCAGAGAUAGGUUUUAAAAGAUGGAUAUGAUUGCUGUAAACAUUUUAAACACAGCUGAGAAUCUGUGAAGUUUUUUUGUUUGUUUUUCCCUGUUUGUUUCAACCAGUUGAGUAGCAUAAUCUAGAAAUGCUCUGACGUUAGUGAACUUUCAAAAAGUAUUUCAGUCUGAUAGGUAAAGACUGAAUAGAUGUGAAGAAAAUCUCAGGUGUGAUGUUGGAGCAUAGCCUUGGAGCAGGCUUCUGUUGGCAUUAAGGCAUCACCCUGAAAUUCUGAUUGUGAGGAAGUCCAUGGAGUUUCCUUGGAGAGGCUAAGUUAGGGUCUCUAGGCCAGGGUGUUUUUGUUUUUAAAUAGUUGGCACUUUGUUUUGUU